UAGAAUGCGAUAUGCAAUGUGAAUUGCAGAACCAUGAAUCAUUGGAUCUUUGAACGCAACUUGCACUGGUAUAACCAGUAUGCUUGUUUCAGUGUGCCUACAAAAAUAAACAAACAUAAUGUGAGAGAUAAUUCUCUUAUAAAAUAAAUGCUCCUGUAGCAGUCACAAUAAUUUGUGAACUAUAGUGUAGUAUAUAUAAACUUUUAUUUGCACCUGAGAUCAAGCAAGAUGACCCGCUGGACUUAA
rnacentral:misc_RNA from 1 species